UCAAAAUUCAAUUGUGAGAUUUUUGUCUUUCAAGCAGUCUUUCGAGAGAAAAAAAACAUCCGUUUAAAUGAUAAAAUAAUUUUUUAACAUUUUUUAAGUUUAUUUCCAACCAAGUUUAUUUCUUUUUUUUUUGUCUCAUAGACACAAUUGUCUGACCAUACCUUUCUAUAUUUUUUUCUUUUACUUUAAAUUUUUUUUGAGAUUUUACAAGUUAUCUCAGAGAUAUUUUAAAAAAUAUUAGUUAAAUUUUCAGUUGCACCAUCAACCACUUUCUGAUUUCCCUCAUACUCA
rnacentral:lncRNA from 1 species